rnacentral:rRNA from 1 species
UACGGGAGGCAGCAGUGGGGAAUAUUGGACAAUGGGCGAAAGCCUGAUCCAGCAAUGCCGCGUGUGUGAAGAAGGCCUUCGGGUUGUAAAGCACUUUAGGCUGGAAAGAAAAAGCUUUGGCUAAUAUCCAAAGCCUUGACGGUACCAGCAGAAUAAGCACCGGCUAACUCUGU